AGAGUUUGAUCAUGGCUCAGGACGAACGCNNGGCGGCGUGCUUAACACAUGCAAGUCGAACGGUGAACUCCGCUUGCGGGGGGAUCAGUGGCGAACGGGUGAGUAACACGUGGGCAACCUGCCCCUGGCUCUGGGAUAACUCCAAGAAAUUGGGGCUAAUACCGGAUAUGACCGCUGACCGCAUGGUCUGGUGGUGGAAAGAUUUAUCGGCUGGGGAUGGGCCCGCGGCCUAUCAGCUUGUUGGUGGGGUAGUGGCCUACCAAGGCGACGACGGGUAGCCGGCCUGAGAGGGUGACCGGCCACACUGGGACUGAGACACGGCCCAGACUCCUACGGGAGGCAGCAGUGGGGAAUAUUGCGCAAUGGGCGAAAGCCUGACGCAGCGACGCCGCGUGGGGGAUGACGGCCUUCGGGUUGUAAACCUCUUUCAGCAGGGACGAAGCGAAAGUGACGGUACCUGCAGAAGAAGCACCGGCCAACUACGUGCCAGCAGCCGCGGUAAUACGUAGGGUGCAAGCGUUGUCCGGAAUUAUUGGGCGUAAAGAGCUCGUAGGCGGUUUGUUGCGUCGGCUGUGAAAUCCCGAGGCUCAACCUCGGGUCUGCAGUCGAUACGAGCAAACUAGAGUGUUGCAGGGGAGACUGGAAUUCCUGGUGUAGCGGUGAAAUGCGCAGAUAUCAGGAGGAACACCGGUGGCGAAGGCGGGUCUCUGGGGCAACAACUGACGCUGAGGAGCGAAAGCGUGGGGAGCGAACAGGAUUAGAUACCCUAGUAGUCC
rnacentral:rRNA from 1 species